UUGCUCUUCAACGAGGAAUGCCUAGUAAGCGUACGUCAUCAGCGUGCGUUGAUUACGUCCCUGCCCUUUGUACACACCGCCCGUCGCUACUACCGAUUGAAUGGCUGAGUGAGGCCUUCGGACUGGCCCAGGGAGGUCGGCAACGACCACCCAGGGCCGGAAAGUUGGUCAAACUCCGUCAUUUAGAGGAAGUAAAAGUCGUAACAAGGUUUCCGUAGGUGAACCUGCGGAAGGAUCAUUAAAGAGUAAGGGUGCUCAGCGCCCGACCUCCAACCCUUUGUUGUUAAAACUACCUUGUUGCUUUGGCGGGACCGCUCGGUCUCGAGCCGCUGGGGAUUCGUCCCAGGCGAGUGCCCGCCAGAGUUAAACCAAACUCUUGUUAUUAAACCGGUCGUCUGAGUUAAAAUUUUGAAUAAAUCAAAACUUUCAACAACGGAUCUCUUGGUUCUGGCAUCGAUGAAGAACGCAGCGAAAUGCGAUAAGUAAUGUGAAUUGCAGAAUUCAGUGAAUCAUCGAAUCUUUGAACGCACAUUGCGCCCUUUGGUAUUCCGAAGGGCAUGCCUGUCCGAGCGUCAUUACACCCCUCAAGCUCUGCUUGGUAUUGGGCCCUCGUCCGCCAGGGACGGGCCUCGAAAUCCUCGGCGGCGGUGCCCGGCUUUGAGCGUAGUAGAACCUCUUUUCUCGCUUUGAAAGCCCGCGGCGCCCGUCUGCCGGACGACCCCCAAUCUUUCUUCAAGGUUGACCUCGGAUCAGGUAGGGAUACCCGCUGAACUUAAGCAUAUCAAUAAGCGGAGGA
rnacentral:rRNA from 1 species